AGUUGAAACAGAUGUAAUUAUACUGUCUUGUCUCAAUUAAUUAAGGAACCUUUUGCUUUCCAAAAAAGAAAACUGUUUCUCAAUUAGAAUUCCUAAAUUUUUCAGGUGACAAUUAAAUCGCUAUUUAUCAUCACAUCUCUUCUUUACUACUCUUAUAAAGAUAAACAAACACAUAGCUCCCCACCACUUGUCCUGCCAUUUCUAAUUCGUGAAUUUAUAGUAAUCGCUUGAAUUUUUUAAUAUUUUAUGUUUUUUUUUAUAAGUGUGUUUAUUUUUAUGUUGUGCGGAGUUGAGUAAUACUCUACUUGAUUUAAACUAGAAUUGGUUUAGUCAAGUUGUAAUUGUUGUAGUGCAAACAUCUAAAGAUUAAGAAUUUGAAGAUCAUGGAGGUUUAUCAUCGUCCUUAUAGGCUACUUGUUGAUCCACAUCCUGUAAUUCCACCAAUAAGCAAACCCUUACCUCACCAUGGUUACUCAAACGAAGCGAAUUUCGAUACAAACAUGGUGAUUAUAUUAGCUGCUCUGCUUUGUGCAUUAAUAUGUGCUCUUGGAUUGAAUUCCAUUGUGAGAUGUGCGUUACGUUGCAGUAGGAGAUUUGCUUUCGAGUCAGAAACUGCGAGAUUAGCUGCAACAGGGCUGAAAAAGAGCACACUCAGGCAACUUCCUCUCUCUGUUUAUGGAUCAGGAGUUACUAUUCCGGCUACUGAUUGUCCCAUUUGCCUCGGAGAAUUCGUUGAUGGUGAAAAAGUGAGAGUUUUGCCUAAAUGUCACCAUGGAUUUCAUGUCAAGUGUAUAGAUAUUUGGUUGGCUUUACAUUCUUCAUGUCCAACAUGCCGACAAUCGUUGCUGGAACAGAACACAACGGCAGCAGCAGCAGCAGGGGAUGUUGAAACUGGAUUGAGCCAACCAACUCCUCCUCCUCCUGCUCCUGCUACUCGUGCUGUUGCUGCUGAGGAGGUUGGUUAAUUUGCAGAAUCUGUUUGUUUUCAAAAGGGAAAAAUAUGUAGGUGAUUUCAGGUUAUUUUUUAUAAAAUCAUAUACGCAAGAUUGAUAUAGCUUUCAAUUGCACAAAGAUGUGCUAGUAAGAAUUGAUGUCAUUCUUCAUUUGAAAAUUUUGAGUUUGUUUUCUUUUCAAUCCAAACCUGUAUUUGGAAACUGUUCCAUUUAUUCCAAUCUUUGUAUUUGCUUUGAACUUGUCUUCUUGAGAAAAUUGCAUAUGUUUGGCUAAAUGGUGGAGUCAAGGUAUUAACUUUUUAUGUUCGGUGCCAAUUGGUUACGUGUGACUUUGAGGUUAUAAAAGAAAACCGAGUGACUUUUUGUCAAAAGAACAAAUAGUUUAGUGACUUUCUACGACAAAAAUCUCCAUGACUAAAGUGAGUAAUGAGAUAAGGUUCUCCCUCCCCUCCUAGUAGUUCUGGACACAGGGCGCCUUUCUUUUCCUGGGCUAAGCUGAGUGACUUUCUGUGAAAAGAAUUAUUAGUUGAGUUACAUCUGAUAUAUUAAUUCUUUGGAUGAGUAAAGCAGAGUUCAUAAAUUUCAUGUGAUGGUCAACUUGAAUGUCAAUGGUAAGAUGGAGGUCUUGUUACUAUGGCCAGCUAGUCAUGUAGAUCAAAUAUCAAACCAUGAUCUUGAACAGCCAGCAACACUGCUACUGCUUGAUUAAUCAGGAUCAGCACUCUGGAAACUGCAAAUUUGUUCAUAGAAAGCCAAAAGUUUGAAUAUUUGUUAUGCUUUUUUUUUUUUUGGUUUCUCUCUGUUUGAUUUGACAAGGCACAUUCAUAUAUUGAUUGUUAGCCAGAAGGAACAAAAGGAAUCAUUAGCAUGUGCGAAAAGAACAGAAUCUCUCUGCACAACUUUUCAUCAUAUAGCUCUUUUCUCCCCUUUUAUAGGUCAAUUUGGUCCACAACAUAUUUAUUGCAAUUUGCAAAGCAAGGUAUCAACUGGACAUUUAGGCAACAUACCCUCUCUGAUACCGCUUAUGACGUUUGAUUGAUCAGCAUUAUCUUCUACUUGAUUAGGUUCAAGUAGAAAAGAUUGCUGGUAAAUACUACCAUAGUGCGCAAAGGAACAAUGUAGAAUGAUGAUUGAGUUGAAAGAAGUCAAUUCUAGAA